rnacentral:rRNA from 1 species
CUACGGGCGGCAGCAGCCGAGAAUCUUUCACAAUGGGGGCAACCCUGAUGGAGCGACGCCGCGUGGAGGAUAAGGUCUUCGGAUUGUAAACUCCUGUCAUGUGUGAACAAGGUUGUCGUGUGAAUAGCAUGGCAAAUUGAUGGUAACACAAGAGGAAGAGACGGCUAACUCUGUGCCAGCAGCCGCGGUAAUACAGAGGUCUCAAGCGUUGUUCGGAAUCACUGGGCGUAAAGGGUGCGUAGGUGGCGUGGUAAGUCAGAUGUGAAAGCCCGGGGCUCAACCUCGGAAUUGCAUCCGAUACUGCCGUGCUAGAGUACUGAAGAGGUGACUAGAAUUCUCGGUGUAGCAGUGAAAUGCGUAGAUAUCGAGAGGAAUACCAACGGCGAAGGCAGGUCACUGGGCAGUUACUGACACUGAGGCACGAAGGCCAGGGGAGCAAACGGGAUUAGAUACCCCCGUAGUC